AUUGAACGCUGGCGGCAGGCCUAACACAUGCAAGUCGAGCGAGCGGCGGACGGGUGAGUAAUGUAUGGGGACUGCCCGAUAGAGGGGGAUAACUACUGGAAACGGUGGCUAAUACCGCAUACUAUCGGAUAACCCAUAUGGGAUUAGCUGGUUGGUGAGGUAAUGGCUCACCAAGGCGACGAUCCCUAGCUGGUCUGAGAGGAUGAUCAGCCACACUGGGACUGAGACACGGCCCAGACUCCUACGGAGGCAGCAGUGGGGAAUAUUGCGCAAUGGGCGCAAGCCUGACGGAGCCACGCCGCGUGUAUGAAGAAGGUUUUCGGGUCGUAAAGCUCUUUUGUUAGGGAGGCGUUACCUACCGAAGAAGCCACGGCUAACUCCGUGCCAGCCGCCGCGGUAAUAC
rnacentral:rRNA from 1 species